UUGGAGGGCAAGUCUGGUGCCAGCAGCCGCGGUAAUUCCAGCUCCAAUAGCGUAUAUUAAAGUUGUUGCAGUUAAAAAGCUCGUAGUUGAAUUUCGGGGUUAGUAGGUUGGUCAUGCCACUGGUAUGUACUGAUCUUACUGAUUCCUCCUUCCUGAUGAACCGUAAUGCCAUUAAUUUGGUGUUGUGGGGAGACUGGACUGUUACUUUGAAAAAAUUAGAGUGUUUAAAGCAGGCUAACGCUUGAAUACAUUAGCAUGGAAUAAUGAAAUAGGACGUUCGAUCCUAUUUUGUUGGUUUCUAGGAUAGACGUAAUGAUUAAUAGGGAUAGUUGGGGGCAUUAGUAUUCAAUUGUCAGAGGUGAAAUUCUUGGAUUUAUUGAAGACUAACUACUGCGAAAGCAUUUGCCAAGGAUGUUUUCAUUAAUCAAGAACGAAAGUUAGGGGAUCGAAGACGAUCAGAUACCGUCGUAGUCUUAACCAUAAACUAUGCCGACUAGGGAUCGGAUGAUGUUAAUUUUUUAAUGACUCAUUCGGCGCCUUACGGGAAAC
rnacentral:rRNA from 1 species